UUUCGGCUGUCACUUACAGAUGGGCCCGCGGCGCAUUAGCUAGUUGGUGAGGUAACGGCUCACCAAGGCCACGAUGCGUAGCCGACCUGAGAGGGUGAUCGGCCACACUGGGACUGAGACACGGCCCAGACUCCUACGGGAGGCAGCAGUAGGGAAUCUUCCGCAAUGGACGAAAGUCUGACGGAGCAACGCCGCGUGAGUGAUGAAGGUUUUCGGAUCGUAAAACUCUGUUGUUAGGGAAGAACAAGUAUCGGAGUAACUGCCGGUACCUUGACGGUACCUAACCAGAAAGCCACGGCUAACUACGUGCCAGCAGCCGCGGUAAUACGUAGGUGGCAAGCGUUGUCCGGAAUUAUUGGGCGUAAAGCGCGCGCAGGUGGUUCCUUAAGUCUGAUGUGAAAGCCCACGGCUCAACCGUGGAGGGUCAUUGGAAACUGGGGAACUUGAGUGCAGAAGAGGAAAGUGGAAUUCCAAGUGUAGCGGUGAAAUGCGUAGAGAUUUGGAGGAACACCAGUGGCGAAGGCGACUUUCUGGUCUGUAACUGACACUGAGGC
rnacentral:rRNA from 1 species